rnacentral:rRNA from 1 species
GACGAACGCUGGCGGCGUGCUUAACACAUGCAAGUCGAGCGGUAAGGCCCUUUCGGGGGUACACGAGCGGCGAACGGGUGAGUAACACGUGGGUGACCUGCCUCUAGCUCUGGGAUAAGCCUGGGAAGCUGGGUCUAAUACCGGAUAUGACCUCGCGGUGCAUGUUGCGGGGUGGAAAGCCUUGUGCGGCUAGGGAUGGGCCCGCGGCCUAUCAGCUUGUUGGUGGGGUGAUGGCCUACCAAGGCGACGACGGUAGCCGGCCUGAGGGGCGACCGGCCACACUGAGACUGAGACACGGCCCAGACUCCUACGGGAGGCAGCAGUGGGGAAUCUUGCGCAAUGGGCGAAAGCCUGACGCAGCGACGCCGCGUG